CCCCAUAAGAACCCCUAUAAAUAGAGGGCACCCCCCACUCAUUAAAGGCAGGUCAUUUGGAGAAGAAGGAUUCCUAGCGAAGCAGAGCUCUGCGCACUUGAGUUCCGGUCCGGUUUCCCGCGGAGUUCCCCACUUGGCGCUUGCUUGCGCGUCUUGGAGUACUGGUCGGGUUUCACCCCCAUCAGUUGGCGCCGUCUGUGACUCAAAGAUACUCACGACAAAAGCUCCUCGACUUUUUCGAAAAAAGUGAUCGACUUUUUUCCAAGUCGCCAGCUAGGGAGUCUUGCGAGGAAAUCAGCCAGCAAGGGAUCAACUUUUCAGAAGAUCGACUUUUUCUUCCAAGGAAAAAAAGUCGAUCCCUCAAGGAGCUAGGCUUUCAGGCAUCGACUUCCAAGGAAUCCUCCAAGUGCACUAGGGAUCGACUUUUUGAAGAUCGACUU
rnacentral:lncRNA from 1 species